rnacentral:rRNA from 1 species
UGGGGAAUAUUGCACAAUGGGGGAAACCCUGAUGCAGCGACGCCUCGUGAACGAAGAAGGUAUUCGUAUCGUAAAGUUCUGUCCUAUGGGAAGAUAUUGACAGUACCAUAGAAGAAAGCUCCGGCUAAAUACGUGCCAGCAGCCGCGGUAAUACGUAUGGAGCGAGCGUUGUCCGGAAUUAUUGGGCGUAAAGGGUACGCAGGCGGUUUAAUAAGUCGAAUGUUAAAGAUCGGGGCUCAACCCCGCAAAGCAUUGGAAACUGAUAAACUUGAGUAGUGGAGAGGAAAGUGGAAUUCCUAGUGUAGUGGUGAAAUACGUAGAUAUUAGGAGGAAUACCAGUAGCGAAGGCGACUUUCUGGACACAAAAUGACGCUGAGGUACGAAAGCGUGGGGAGCAAACAGG